GAUUUUAUGAAUAAAAGAGGAGAAAAUAGAUCAAUUUAAACCCUUACAAUUAUGGGAAAAGUUAUAAAAAUCUUGUGCAUGCUUAUAUAUAUAUAUAUACACACACACUAUUUUGAAGGUAUUUAUGCAUAUUUAAAAAAUAUAGGAAAAAUUGGGUAUCAACAAUGUAUUCAUCAGUUUAGUAUGCAAGUGUUCAUGCAAGUUCAUGUUUCCACCAGACCCGUUUAAGGUUCUAAGUUAGCCAAAGUUAUAGUCAGGACAAUCAUUCAAGCACAAUGAUCCCAAGGGGGAGAUAAUGUAAUACUUGUAAAUUCAGACUAGGUGUGGUUAUACUAAAUGAGUAUUAAUGUGACAUCUUAGACAUAUGAAGUCCUAUCGGGAUAAUUAUGGGUGAAAAUAGUUAUUUUGUUAUCAAGACAGAGAGUGAGGUGCAUAAGAUUCGAUAAAAUCAACUAAGUUAAUAGAAGUUCUGACUUCCAUAUGGCUUUCAUGAACAUAUGUUCAGAAUUUUAGAAAAUGUAAAACAUGUAAGUUGUACCCUUUUUAAAAAGCUUACCAAAGAUAUAUUAUGGGGCCAAAACAGACUUCUUAGACAAAGGUUACGUACGUUUUACUGGAAAAUGUGCAGCAUGCGCGCCUUAGUGUGCUCCCAUAUGGUCUCGUGCAUGGCCGCGCACUGCUGCAUGUCUAGGUGUGCGGUUGGGCCUCCAGGUGCACGGAAGCAUACCUUGGGGUAAUUCUAAAAGCCCUACUUCGUCCCCCACAUCCCAAAACACAAAAACGUGUUCUAGAAAGGGAAGCUCCCAGGAACCUAACUCUUCAAAGGUCCCUCCACCAUCCAAUAUAAGUUCUAAUGAUGAUUUUAAGUUAAUAUCAAUUUCCAACACCUUAUUAACAUGGGUAGACCCUCUAAAUCAUUAGAUAUUCGAUUGAGACAUCAUGGUUGAGAAAAGAAAUCCCAGAAUUCGAAUUCAAAUAGAUUGAAUGUCAAAAGGUAAUAUCAUCAUCCUCUAAUUGAUUAUAAUAUUGGAUAAAUGAUUAUAGAUUCUAAGUUCAUGAGAUAUGAAUUGAUGGGUGUGAUAAAAAAAAUAUGAAUGAUUAUAGGUUUGGAUGGUUUAUUAUUGGUUAAGAGUGUUGUUUAUCUUAUAGAUGAAGUAGAAUGACAUUGAUUAUAAAACAUUUGAGAUUUUAGAAUUUAUUUAGGAGCAAGAAAAUGAAUUUUUGGGUGUAGAAAACCCAUUAAUGAGGGUUAUGAGGCUUUAUGCCCACAACGUAUUUGUUAAAAUGCUUAAGUGACCAAAAUAUGAGUAUUAUUGCUGAUAUGGAAUCUCUUUGACAUGUGAUUAAAGUUAAAAGGGUUGGAAAUGUUGUAUUAUGCUCAAGAGCAGGAAGUUAAUAUAUGUGAGGCUAACUCUUAAUAUUUAGGAAUGUUAAUGAUUCUCCCUGCACUAUAUUUUUUUUACGACAUUACUAAUUGUCUCAGAAAUAUAAUUAAGCCUUGUUCCUUAAAUAGUUGCAGAACUUCUAUUAUCUAGCUUCAUAACUCAUUCUUGACUUUCAUUGAACGUUGUGAGAUCAAUAUAGACUUGGGUUUGAUACUCAUGAGUCUCAUCCUAGAUUACUCAACAUGUCAUAAAAAAUUGAAGUAUCAGUUUUCAUAAUCAGUUCAAGAAUACAUGUCUCAAUCCUGUCAUAUUUAGUAUUCCAGUAUUAUGUAACUCAAUAUGAUUCUAUAUUUCAGCAUCACAUAUUCCAGUAUGAUUCUCAGUUUCUGAAUUUAAAUUCCUUAAUGUUAAACACCUGUAUUUGGACCCAAGAAUGUAGUUUAUAUGCUUUAUGCAUAUUUGGACCUGAGGCUGUAAAUUUACGUUUUAUGCAUGUUUGGACCUGAGGCUGUAAUUGAUGCUUUAUAUAUAUUUGGGCCUGAGGCCGUAGUUAUGUUUAUGUAUACUUGGACCUGAGACCGUAGCUUGUGCGCAUAUAUUGGACCAAGGCUGUAGUUUAUUCAGAUAAAUAAGUUGUUCGUCAUUUAGAAGAGGGAGUAUUCAUAUCCUCACUUCCUUUGUCCAGUUCAGUUAUUAGUUACCAUUUCACUUAUCAGUUAUCAUUUAAGUUAUCACUUAUCAGUUAUUAUUUUAUUUCAGUUUUAAUAAUUACCAUUUUAGUUAUCAAUUAUCAAUUCUUAGUUAUCACCUCAGUAUCAGUUUUAACAUUAAUAAUUCUUUCUUUCAGUUGCUUUGCAUAUCAGUGCAAUUCAAAUGGACUAACGUCCCUUUGCCUGGAUCUCAUGGUGCAGGUAAUAAUUUACAGGAUAGAAAUUCAGAGUGCUAGGAUUCUUGUACCAGCUAUUUGGUGAGCCUUAGUUCUUUAGGGGCAUUAUUAUUACUUUACAGUCUUUCAGUAUAUAGACAGCCAAUAUUUGCAAUACUUCAUUAAAGGCUUCAUAGACUAGAGUAAUAGUUAGAUAGAGUCACAGGCUUUUUAUGUUAAGCAAUAUUGGCUACAGAUAUACUUCUGAAUUAUGCUAGUGUUUCCGCAUAUUAAUUUAUAUCAUUCAAACUUUUAGUAUAUCAGCAUGUUUUAGUUCAUCUUCCAUAUUCAGUAUUGCUAUAAUAUCAUAUGUUUAUUCAGCUAGCCAGUCGGUUCGUUUGGUUACAGUAGUCAGGCACCGGGAGCCGUGUUACGUCCAGGCCAGGUUCCGGGCGUGACAAGAUGCACCUAGAAAAAUUGAUGAAGCUGAUUGUAAAGGGUUCACAGUCACUUAGCCAAAUGGAUAACUGAAGUCAUGGAUAGUUAUUCUGGUGAUAAUAAGUUACAAGAGUUGAUCACAUAACUUUGUGUGCACCCUAAUAGCCACUUAGAUCUCAAGUUUAACCAUGAAAUUCUGAGAAUCCAAGGGCGGAUUAGGGUAGGAAGCUACGACCAAUUGCAAUCAAAACUAAUCUCUAAGCUUCAUUCAACUCCUUGGGGUGACCAUUCAGGUGUUUUGCCACUCAACAAAGGAUCAAGAAUCUAUCCUAUUGGCCUAAUUUAUUAACAAACAUCAAGAAAUUUGUGAAAGAAUGUGAAGUGUGUCAGAGAAAUAAAGGGGAGAAUAUACCAUACCCAGAUAUUCAAUAACCACUUCCAAUUCCCAGUAGAGCAUGGGAACACUUGGCUAUAGAUUUCAUUAGUGGCCUGCCAAAAUUAAAAGGGAAGAACUCAAUAUUUGUAGUAAUCGAUAUGUUUACCAAAUUUGCAUAUUCCUUUGCACUUACCCAGCCCUAUGAUGUUGCCCAAAUCUCACAGAUUUUCUUAACUUAUGUGUGCAAAUUACAUGGGGUACCUAGCUCAAUUGUGUCUGACAGAGAUCCUAUUUUUGCUAGCACUUUUUUGGAUGGAGUUGUUUAAGGGUCUACUGGUACAAAUAAACCCAGUUCUACCUACUACCCACACACUGAUGUCCAAAUAAUUAAAUAGAUGCUUAGAGUGUUACCCAAGAUGCAUGACUGGCCAUAUUCCAAUUGAGUAGAGCAAAUGGUUGUCCUUAGCUGAAUUCUGAUAUAACUCCAAUUAUCAGUCCUCAAUUGGUAUGAACCCCUUUAAAGCCUUAUAUGGCUAUGACCCUCCACAACCCACCUUCGAAUUGAUAGCACAAACAAAGUCAGUAGAUGCAGAUAAAGUUCUCAUAUAAAGAUAAUUGAUGAACAAAGUCCUUCAGGAGAAGCUCAGAAAGGCACAAAACAUAAUGAAACACUAUGCUCAUUCAAAAAGAGCGAAAGAAAAUUUGAGGUCUAAGACUGGGUACUCUUAAAAUCACAGCCUUACAAGAAGUCAUCAAUGGCUGUGAGGAAAAACUUGAAGUUGUCAGCUUGAUUCUUUGGUCUCUCAUGACUGAAAAUAGGAGAAGGAAUAGACACUGGAGAAUCAGGAGAAGGGUGAGGAGAAGAA
rnacentral:lncRNA from 1 species